rnacentral:rRNA from 1 species
AUUGAACGCUGGCGGCAGGCUUAACACAUGCAAGUCGAGCGGGGGAAGGUAGCUUGCUACCGGACCUAGCGGCGGACGGGUGAGUAAUGCUUAGGAAUCUGCCUAUUAGUGGGGGACAACAUCUCGAAAGGGAUGCUAAUACCGCAUACGUCCUACGGGAGAAAGCAGGGGAUCUUCGGACCUUGCGCUAAUAGAUGAGCCUAAGUCGGAUUAGCUAGUUGGUGGGGUAAAGGCCUACCAAGGGGACGAUCUGUGGCGGGUCUGAGGGGAUGAUCCGCCACACUGGGACUGAGACACGGCCCAGACUCCUACGGGAGGCAGCAGUGGGGAAUAUUGGACAAUGGGGGGAACCCUGAUCCAGCCAUGCCGCGUGUGUGAAGAAGGCCUUAUGGUUGUAAAGCACUUUAAGCGAGGAGGAGGCUACUCUAGUUAAUACCUAGGGAUAGUGGACGUUACUCGCAGAAUAAGCACCGGCUAACUCUGUGCCAGCAGCCGCCGUAA